GAAUAAGCACCGGCUAACUCCGUGCCAGCAGCCGCGGUAAUACGGAGGGUGCAAGCGUUAUCCGGAAUCACUGGGUUUAAAGGGUGCGUAGGCGGCUUAUUAAGUCAUAGGUGAAAGGCAUCGGCUUAACCGAUGGAUUGCCUGUGAUACUGGUGAGCUUGAAUUGGGUUGAGGUUGGCGGAAUGUGACAUGUAGCGGUGAAAUGCAUAGAUAUGUCAUAGAACAUCGAUUGCGAAGGCAGCUGACUGGACCUUGAUUGACGCUGAGGCACGAAAGCGUGGGUAGCGAACAGGAUUAGAGACCCCCGUAGUCC
rnacentral:rRNA from 1 species